rnacentral:lncRNA from 1 species
ACCACCCAUCCAAACCCACCCUUAGAAUAGUCAUUAAUAAACUGAUUUUCGUAUGUAUAUUUACGCCAGCCAGUGGCCAUUGAGAGCAUUUCUGAAAUCUAGUAGAAAGCGUUGUAAAACUUAACGUUUGGUUUCCAAGAAAAAAUAAAUUAAAAUAAAAAAUAAAAAAACAAUGAUUUGGCUUAUAAAAAUACUGCAAAUAGACCCAAAAUGGAAAGACAAUCUUUGAAAGGGUGGCAUUCAAAAACAGGUAAAGGAACC